rnacentral:rRNA from 1 species
GACGAACGCUGGCGGCGUGCUUAACACAUGCAAGUCGAACGGAAAGGCCCUGCUUUUGUGGGGCGCUCGAGUGGCGAACGGGUGAGUAACACGUGAGUAACCUGCCCUUGACUUUGGGAUAACUUCAGGAAACUGGGGCUAAUACCGGAUAGGAGCUCCUGCUGCAUGGUGGGGGUUGGAAAGUUUCGGCGGUUGGGGAUGGACUCGCGGCUUAUCAGCUUGUUGGUGGGGUAGUGGCUUACCAAGGCUUUGACGGGUAGCCGGCCUGCGAGGGUGACCGGCCACAUUGGGACUGAGAUACGGCCCAGACUCCUACGGGAGGCAGCAGUGGGGAAUAUUGCACAAUGGGCGGAAGCCUGAUGCAGCAACGCCGCGUGCGGGAUGACGGCCUUCGGGUUGUAAACCGCUUUCGCCUGUGACGAAGCGUGAGUGACGGUAAUGGGUAAAGAAGCACCGGCUAACUACGUG